rnacentral:rRNA from 1 species
CAGUCGGCCGCGGUAAUACGAAGGGUGCAAGCGUUACUCGGAAUUACUGGGCGUAAAGCGUGCGUAGGUGGUGGUUUAAGUCCGUUGUGAAAGCCCUGGGCUCAACCUGGGAAUUGCAGUGGAUACUGGGUCACUAGAGUGUGGUAGAGGAUAGUGGAAUUUCCGGUGUAGCAGUGAAAUGCGUAGAGAUCGGAAGGAACAUCUGUGGCGAAGGCGACUAUCUGGGCCAACACUGACACUGAGGCACGAAAGCGUGGGGAGCAAACAGGAUUAGAUACCCCCGUAGUCCCUGUCUCUUAUA